UUUGGGAAGUGCUCAAGGAAACCUUCGUACAUGGGAGGCCAUGCGUCUAGGUUAUGAUAGAUAUCAUAUGGCCACAGAAUUAUCCUUGGUUGACCCAAUAGACCCCAAAGAAAAACUAGAAGAUUACUAUUAUAUUCUUCCCAAUGGUGAGUCUUCUCUUGACAUAUCAUUAUCUCUACUGUCUCUAAUUGAGAGUUAUAUUUCAAAUAGACUCCAAGAUCAUAUAGUUAGUGCUGGUAGAUAUACUCAGCAAGUGGAUGAGCACAAUCCUGUCCUAUGAUGACUCGAGGUUGUAUGUCAUUAAACAUCUUGUAUAAUAGUGACAAAACACCCUUCCAAAGUUGAAUUCACCUCACCCUCAACAUCUAUAGACCACCGUUCUAUUCCCCUGUUAUUUCCCGCUUGUCCCAGCUACACUUUUAUUACCUGAAAGGAAUUGUGAAGCUAAAGAAUGAGCACAACUAGCUCAGUAAAGAAUAUCAUGACUAAAGAUAAAUAAAUUAUCAAUAGCCUUCAACAGUAAUAAAUCAGAGAUUUAGAACAUAUGGUACAUGAUAAAACUUUUC
rnacentral:lncRNA from 1 species